GCGGCUGCACCACUAGGAUGCCCUGAUCCAACAUCGAGGUCGUAAACCUAUCUGUCGAUAAGGGCUCUUGAGAUAGAUUGCGCUGUUAUCCCUAGGGUAACUUGGUUCGUUGAUCAAUAUAUUGGGUCAAUUAAUGUCAAUUUGUUGGUGCUUAAAGUUGUAGCUUUUUGUUCAGGAGUAGCUCCGUUCAAUGUGGAGGAUAAUUUUUUCUCCGCGGUCACCCCAACCUAAAAUCUACAGGCAUUCUGACUAGAAUAGUUAUUAAUGUUCUGAAACUUUAUAAUUGGUAAGUCAGUGCCCUAUGAUUUGAAGCUCCAUAGGGUCUUCUCGUCUUAUAUUUUUAUCCCCGCUUCUUCACGGGGAGAUCAGUUUCAUUGAUUGGAGAAAGGAGACAGUACCACCCUCGUGGUGCCAUUCAUACUAGUCCUCAUUUAAAGAACAAGUGAUUACGCUACCUUCGCACGGUUAGGAUACCGCGGCCGUUGAACUUAGUCACUGGGCAGGCUGGACCUCUUAUAAUAGUUUCAAGAGGCGAUGUUUUUGGUAAACAGGCGGGGUUGAUAUUUGCCGAGUUCCUUCUUUCUCUUUUGAUCUUUCUUUUAAUGCUCUGGUGUUAGAUUAACGUUUUAGUUAAAUAGGGUUUUCUAGGAAAGUUGCUGUUUUAUAUUCAUGGACGAUUAAUUGUCAGUGGUGGGUCCUUUCUGAUGUACACUUGCAUUUAAGAGAAGGGCUAUCUUCUUAUUACUAGUUUUAACAUAAUUACUUCUAUAAGUGUAUAGAAUCGCUUAAUAGAGAUAAAGGG
rnacentral:rRNA from 1 species